CUCUUAGUUGCAGUAUCAUAGCCAAUGAAGUUUAUUCUAGGCACAAUUAUUGCUAAUUAAAAACUUUUCCCUAUACGUGCCGUGACAACUUGUAAUACAUCCAGCAUUGGCAAUUUUUGAGUCUCUACAGAGA
rnacentral:snRNA from 1 species